GAUGAAGAACGUAGCGAAAUGCGAUAAGUAAUGUGAAUUGCAGAAUUCCGUGAAUCAUCGAAUCUUUGAACGCACAUUGCGCCCGCCAGUAUUCUGGCGGGCAUGCCUGUUCGAGCGUCAUUUCAACCAUCAAGCCCCCGGCUUGUGUUGGGGACCUGCGGCUGCCGCAGGCCCUGAAAACCAGUGGCGGGCUCGCUAGUCACUCCGAGCGUAGUAAUACAUCUCGCUCAGGGCGUGCUGCGGGUUCCGGCCGUUAAAAAAGCCUUAUUUACCCAAGGUUGACCUCGGAUCAGGUAGGAAGACCCGCUGAACUUAAGCAUAUCAAUAAGCGGAGGA
rnacentral:misc_RNA from 1 species